rnacentral:misc_RNA from 1 species
UUUCCGUAGGUGAACCUGCGGAAGGAUCAUUGUCGAAGCCUGCCCAGCAGAACAACCCGCGAACUUGUAUAAACAACCGGGGGCAGGGGCGAUCUCGCCCCGUGCCCUCGAACGGCAGGGAGACACUCGUGCCUUCUUGUCGAACAACGAACCCCGGCGCGGUCUGCGCCAAGGAACUUCAAUUAAAGAGUGCCUCCGGUCGCCUCGGAAACGAUGCGCGUGUCGGAGGCGAAUCUUGUACAAAACCAUAACUACUCUCGGCAACGGAUAUCUCGGCUCUC